GCGCUUAACACAUGCAAGUCGAGCGAGAAAGGACUUCGGUCCCGGUAAAGCGGCGCACGGGUGAGUAAUACGUAGGUAAUUUGCCCCCAGGUGGUGGAUAACCUUCCGAAAGGAGGGCUAAUACAGCAUGAGACCACGGCUCCGAGAGGAGCAGAGGUCAAAGCCGGCCUCUUCAUGAAAGCUGGUGCCAGGGGAUGAGCCUACGGCCCAUCAGCUAGUUGGUAGGGUAAUGGCCUACCAAGGCGAAGACGGGUAGCUGGUCUGAGAGGAUGAUCAGCCACACUGGAACUGAGACACGGUCCAGACUCCUACGGGAGGCAGCAGUGGGGAAUCUUGCGCAAUGGGCGAAAGCCUGACGCAGCGACGCCGCGUGAGUGAUGAAGGCCCUCGGGUUGUAAAGCUCUGUGGAGAGGAACGAAUAAGGGUUGGCUAAUAUCCAGCCCGAUGACGGUACCUCUUUAGCAAGCACCGGCUAACUCUGUGCCAGCAGCCGCGGUAAGACAGAGGGUGCAAACGUUGUUCGGAAUUACUGGGCGUAAAGCGCGUGUAGGCGGCUCGGAAAGUCGGAUGUGAAAGCCCUGGGCUCAACCCAGGAAGUGCACCCGAAACUCCCGAGCUCGAGUCCUGGAGAGGA
rnacentral:rRNA from 1 species